UAUGUGAUCGUCUCUCGCAUAUCAAUAAGCGGAGGAAAAGAAACUAACAAGGAUUCCCCUAGUAACGGCGAGUGAAGCGGGAAGAGCUCAAAUUUGAAAUCUUAAAGGGUUUCCCUUUACGAAUUGUAGUUUAAAGAAGUGUUUUCUGUUGAGGUUUUGGUAAAAGUUCUUUGGAAUAGGACAUCAUAGAGGGUGAGAAUCCCGUAUUUGACCUUUACUUUCAACUUUGUGAUACACUUUCAAAGAGUCGGAUUGUUUGGGAAUGCAGUCCAAAAUGGGUGGUAAAUUUCAUCUAAAGCUAAAUAUUGGCGAGAGACCGAUAGCGAACAAGUACCGUGAGGGAAAGAUGAAAAGAACUUUGAAAAGAGAGUUAAACAGUACGUGAAAUUGUCAAAAGGGAAGCGUUUGACACCAGUGUUGUUUUUCUGAAAAUCAAUUAAAGAACUGUUUAUGCUAAGCUGUUUAGACUUUAUUAGCUAUCUGUUUAGUUUUGAGCUUUUCUUUAAUGCACUUUUCAGUUAACAAGUCAACAUCAAUUUCUUUUGCUGUAAAAAAGCUUGAGGAAGGUGGCUUGAGAUUCGUCUUAAGUGUUUAUAGCCUCUUGCCUAUGCAGUCGGAGAGAUUGAGGUCUGCAGCGUAGAUCCUUCGGGGCUAAAUGCAUUUGUGCUAAGUUAUAGCAUUUUAUAGACAACUUGUUGACUAUGAUUUGUCUUGUAGCUUACUCGCUUAUGUUAUUUUACCUACGCUUAGGAUGUUGAGCGCAUGUCUCUCUCU
rnacentral:rRNA from 1 species